GCAGGGGUACCAAAGUGGUCAAAUGGGGCAGACUCAAGAUCUGCUGACUUAGUGUCUUCAGAGGUUCGAAUCCUCUCCCCUGCA
rnacentral:tRNA from 1 species